AGAAAGUAUAUUAGUCUCUGGAACUACUUGCACGUUGCAGUUGCUGGAUGUUGGAUAUGCACAAAGGAAUGCGCGGGUAUAGAUCCCAGACAUGGCCCUGCUCUCCCAAAUACUAACAGUUGCUGAAGAUGUUGUCAAUGUUGGAAGCCCCUCCCCUGUCAAAGGUCCGGCCAAUGGUCUGGAACUUGAAGUCAGCAGCUAAGAGGGGACACUCAACACUGGAUUGAAGAAGCCACUGCAUAAGGAUCAAAAAUACUCCGUGGAACAGAGCUCUCCUUUUUUGAUGUAUUCUGGCACUUUCUCUAGGGGCAGUGAUCUCUUCAACUUCGUCUAAUCUCACUGAAGAAUCCUCACAGACAAAAAAAAAGUAACAGUUUUCAAAAGUUUUCAGCAUUUUGCAGAAAGCAAAAUUAAUAUUUGGAGACACAUGGGUUUUUAAUGAAAUAUCUCAAGCUGCUACUGAAAAAGUAAUUUUAUUUUAAAGAUGUAUAAUUUUAAAAUUCUAUUAUCAGGGAUCAACAAUUGAUGAUAUUAGAUGUUCCAGACCUUGAAGUAUAGAGGUGUUGUAAUCUCUAUUUCAUCUCAUUUUCAACAAGAUGUAAUAUUUUCAAAGGUUUUUACAGCUGGAAUCGAGCAUGAAAAUUAGAAUUUCAUGUCAAAUUGCUUUGUGUUAAUUACAUUGGAAAAUACUGCGAUAAGGCAUCCUGAAGGGAAAUGGGGUAACACUGAAAACAAUUUCUAGAUUUCAGCAUGCACAAAUGUGGAAUAUUUUUGCCAGGUUUAGUGAGUACUGGUGGCAGAUAGUGACAACCUUGAUGUUAAUUCAAGUGCAAAUUCCUUUUUGUUAUUUGAUUCAUGGCAUUAAUCCAGAUUGGAUCCACUUAUUUCUAUUCAUUCAGAGCUGGAGGAUCUCUACCCGGAAAUUCUAAGUCCAUUUCCAAUCAUUCUGCUUGGAAAUUCUCAAGGCUGAAUUUACAGCCACAUCUUCCUAUAUGCAUGAGGACCCUUGCAGUUAUUUUCCUUUUAUCAGAAUACUGAAAACACCGAACUCUACUACUUUAUAGCUUCUCAUAUUACCUUGACUAACUCUGUGCAGUUAAACUGUUUCCUGGACAUCUGGGUUCAGACGAGCCUUAAGUUUACAAGGGAAAAAAUACUCUUAACUCUUAAUUCUUCACGAAUUUCACAACAUGUUUCAGUGAUUCUGAUCAGGUCUUUACUCAUACACCUCUGCAAAACUAUUGGAUAUUUUGUCUAUGUUGUUAACAGAAGUACAUGUAGAUAACUUACUGUUCCUUGGGGUGAACUAUAGUGAGAAGUACUGAACAUUGCCAACAUCUUUGGGGUUCAAUCCCAAUAUAUUAUUGUCCUUUAGAAAAGUCAGAAAUCUGAGAACAAAAUAUGUCACUCUUAACAACCCUCAAAAUUCCCUUUUAAAUAUGCAGCUUGGUAGAAUUUUUUUGUUCAAAGUGUGCCUGUCUAAAUAUUAAUUAAUAAUAGUUCAUAGAAGACAUAGAAGAAUAGUUCAUAGUCUCCAGAAGACACGGUAUAUCAUUAAAGACCCCUCACACCCUCUCCAUGAACUGUUUGUUCUUCUGCCAUCAGGUAAACAUUACAGGAGCAUCAAAACAAAAACCACAAGGCUUCUAAACAGCUUCCUCCCACAGGCAGUCAGACUGCUAAAUAGCUGCUCUACCUGACUCUGCUUUGGACACUUUUAACUUGCACUGGACACUUAUAACUUGAUUUUCACCCACAUGUGGCUGUUGUGUUGUACUAUUUAUUGUUGUGUUUAUUAUUUGGUAUUGCGUUUGUUAUGUUAUGAUUGCACUUGCCCCCCGUAAAACAAUGUCUCAUUCUGUCCUGCAGAGCUGAUGUACAGUUAGAAUGACAAUAAAGUUUUUGAAUCUUGAA